AGCUCCAAUAGCGUAUAUUAAAGUUGUUGCAGUUAAAAAGCUCGUAGUUGGAUUUGUGGCGUACGGUGGGUUCCGGGCACUUGUUGUCUGAGUAACUUGCUGUUGCCAUCCUUGGGUGGAACCUGUGUGGCAUUAGGUUGUCGUGCAGGGGAUGCCCAUCAUUUACUGUGAAAAAAUUAGAGUGUUCAAAGCAGGCAUGAAGUGUGCCGGAAUACAUGAGCAUGGAAUAAUGGAACAGGACUACGGUCACUGCACUUUUCCGUUGGUUUCGGAGGGCCGAAGUAAUGAUUAAGAGGGACAGUUGGGGGCAUCCGUAUUUCGCAGUCAGAGGUGAAAUUCUUGGAUCUGCGAAAGACGAACGAGUGCGAAAGCAUUUGCCAAGAGUGUUUUCAUUAAUCAA
rnacentral:rRNA from 1 species